rnacentral:lncRNA from 1 species
GAAAAGUUGUUCUGAUUAACAUACUAAAAAUCCCAAAAAAUCCCUUCGGUGGAACAUGGUGAAAAUCGAGUUUUUCUUACUUCUACCUAUAGAAAACCAUUGUGGACAGAAUGUUGAAAUUUUGAAAUCAUUUUUAGGUAAAUGUAACCUACAUUAUUGGAAAGCUUAGAAAAAACUAAAAUAUAAAUCAUUAAACGGUUGUCUUGCUUUUGCCUAUCCAGCCGAAGUUAUACAAGAUUUAAAAUGUCAUAAAUUUGUAUUUUGUGCAAAUUUUGCACUAUUUUUCCAAUUUUGAGCUAGAAUAACGACAAACUGACCAGUAAAUUGAAUAUAACCGUUUAAUGAUCUAUAUUUUAGUUUUUUCUAAGCUUUCCAAUAAUGUAGGUUACAUUUGCCUAAAAAUGAUUUCAAAAUUUGAACAUUUUGUCCACAAUGGUUUUCUAUAGGUAGAAGUAAGAAAAACUCGAUUUUCACCAUGUUCCACCGAAGGGAUUUUUUUGGAUUUUAGUAUGUUAAUCAGGACACCUUCCCUCACAUUUUACCACUGAAACAAAUUCUAUUGGAAUUUCUUUGACGUCUGGUCACAGAUUGACUGGACUAUUAGGUGAAAAUCGUUGGACGCAAAAUUUGAGAUUGAAAGUUUGAGCAAAACAAGGUAGUACGAAAACGUUAACUUUUUGCGACGCAUUGUCAUGCGCAUACUGAGUUUGGGUUCAGCGGUGGUUGUUCAAAGAAGACAGGUUAUAGAUUCAUAUCUCGCGUUUAUGAAUGCUGACCAUAAUCCUUACCCCCUACUCAGACAAAACAGGAAGACAUGAAGUCGUGAACUUCUUUCUGAGGCAGAACAACAAAGACAGGAUAUGUCUUGCUGUUUUGUGUAGGUCAGGGUAAGGAUUAGGGUCAGUAUUCAUAAAUAGCCGGACAUGAAUCUAUAACAAUAAGACAUGUUCAGCAACCACUAGUGACCUCAAACUCAGUAUGCGCAAGAUAAUGUGCAAGUAUAUCUUAGUAGUUCGUUGUCUUGCUCAAACUAUCACACAUUCCACACACAACGGUGUAGUGGAUUGGGACAGAGGCUAGGCAAACCGGGCUGGCCCAGUUUCCAUGUCAAUCAAAUGUCUUAAACUUAUAGAAAUAGUACAAGAGGCGGGAACUCGCGUCCGAAUUUCAGUAUAGUGUAACUGCGGGUUAUCAAUAUCGUUAGGUCUAUAGUAAGGGUAAAAAUAUUUCGAAAACCUGACUUGAAAGUAAAAAUAACAAAAUUUGACGAUUGGAGCCAUUAGAGGGAGUUGUUCGUAUCUCGUGGUUUCAAAAUUUUAUCUGACUCCAAAUAUUUUUUAAUGUCUCUAACCCAAGUUCGUGGUUCGCGUACUUUGUAUAGAUAGACGAUUUCACGAAUAGGGCUGCAAUUUUGCCGGAAACUGAAAUGCAUUGUGGUCAGCUAGAGUAGUUAUACUAUAUGGAGCAAUGCAUGGACAGAGCUAGGAAUUAAAAACAUGUAUAUAGAUAAAUAUUUUCGCUACAGUAAUGUUAGUAGUGUGAAUUAAUGUAAUACUGAACAUAAACAGUAUAAAAAUUCAAAAACCUUACGAACUGGGAAUCAAAAUUACACGUAAUGUAGUUCUUACAGACUAAAUGCUCAAUGGAACAUUUUGAAAAUUACAAGCCGG